ensembl:lncRNA LINC00499 long intergenic non-protein coding RNA 499
GGGCAUGGUGUGCUUGUCUGAUGGACAGGGCAGCUUAGGGGAAUAAGUCUCUGCAGCGUUGUAGUGAAGAGAGAAUACGGGACAACUGCAGGACCACAGCUCAGCCAAGACACAACCACAUGACUGAAGACAGAGAUCAUCUGGGUCAGUGUUUCAGAAAAUGUUGCCAAGAAACUUCAAAUGCAGAUUCCUGGACCUCCGUGCAAACUACUAUAUUAGAAGCUCCCUUGCAGCUGAGUUGGCCAUAUGACUGACAGCAAGCCCUGGAAUGCAGCCAGAAGUGAUAGAAGCCUCUUUCACACCAUGCUCCUAAAAUAUUCCAAGAAAUUUUCCAAACCUACUCUUUUUAGUCUGUGCAUCUGGAAGUGAAAGUUUUAGAAAGGGUAAAGUCACUUAAUGGAAAGGGCCCAGAUCUAGCCCCUCGGAGCCAAGCUGUCCAACUAGAAAUUCUGCAUUAGUAUUUGCGAGUCGCAAAUAGUCUGUCAUGGAGUUUAGAUUGUGAGUCUCCCUGCUAGAAGAUGGGUCGCAAUUGGAAGAGCGCUUUAUAUUCCCUGCGCCACUGCCAAAUGAUCCUAGAGGUUAACAGAAAACAGCAAUGGGGCUUCCAAAGACAAGGACUGAAUCAUAUACUUGCCCCAGUAAAAAAAAAAAAGUCCCACAAAGAUGUAGGAUCUCACUUUGCCUGCGUUAAUUCCCUGUCCUUUGCCCAGUUUCUCCUCUCUUGGAAGGCAGAGGCAGCUUCUGAUUUUGAUCACUUCAUGUCCAGUGAGCUCAAGUGUUGCAAGUAUCUGCUUAAAAUGCCAUGUGAUGCUAAUCAUCUCUGCACGAGCAGUUCAUCUCAUCUCUCCAGUAAAUUGCUUAUCACAGUAAAAGAAAAGCAAAACAGGAGAGGGGCCAAGAUGGCUGAAUAGAAACAGCCCUGAUCUGCAGCUCCCAGGGAGACCAACGCAGAAGGCCUCUUCUGGAACUGAUUGCAAGGAGUGAAAUGGACUAAUUUUAGAAUAAGCAACUCUACUAUGGAACAUCUGAAAAAAAAAGAGCACUUUUUAAAUUACAGCAAAAUAUUUUUUGAUAUAAAUUUGUGUCUGGCUUCCGCAGAAAACAGUAGACACAUAUAAGGUUUUGCUCCAAGAACAGACUGGACAAAUGAAAUGACAUAUAUAUCCACAAGGGACAUGUUUUUAAGGCAGUUGUCAGAGGAGAAAGAGGAGAAGCAUGUGGAAGGAGGGCUUCCUGAUGACUAAAUUAUAUGUAUGUUUCUGUAUGUCUCAUUUCAUGGGAACUACCUCUACUUUCAAAUGAUCAUUUCUUCCCAACAUUUCAAUCUAUAUAUCACUUCUCUUUGUAAUGAAAAGCAUGUUACUUUUCUAACUUUUAGCCUAAAUACUAAGAAAUAAAAAUUUAUUUAAUGA